AUUGAACGCUGGCGGCAGGCCUAACACAUGCAAGUCGAACGGUAACAGAAAGCAGCUUGCUGCUUUGCUGACGAGUGGCGGACGGGUGAGUAAUGUCUGGGAAACUGCCUGAUGGAGGGGGAUAACUACUGGAAACGGUAACUAAUACCGCAUAACGUCGCAAGACCAAAGAGGGGGACCUUCGGGCCUCUUGCCAUCGGAUGUGCCCAGAUGGGAUUAGCUAGUAGGUGGGGUAACGGCUCACCUAGGCGACGAUCCCUAGCUGGUCUGAGAGGAUGACCAGCCACACUGGAACUGAGACACGGUCCAGACUCCUACGGGAGGCAGCAGUGGGGAAUAUUGCACAAUGGGCGCAAGCCUGAUGCAGCCAUGCCGCGUGUAUGAAGAAGGCCUUCGGGUUGUAAAGUACUUUCAGCGAGGAGGAAGGUGUUGUGGUUAAUAACCACAGCAAUUGACGUUACUCGCAGAAGGAGCACCGGCUAACUCCGUGCCAGCAGCCGCCGUAAAAC
rnacentral:rRNA from 1 species